rnacentral:tRNA from 1 species
GCCCGCAUAGCUCAGUCGGUAGAGCAUCAGACUUUUAAGUCCUCUCAUGACAUCUGAGGGUCGCGGGUUCGAGUCCCUCUGUGGGCG